AUGAUGAUAAGCCUGUUUCCAAGAGGCCAUAAUCAUAGAAGAGGUUUCCUCCUUUCCACGAAAGAGAGAGAAGACAUGACAGUGAGUAAAGGUACACAGGCCUGUCCAACAUCUUGGGCAAGUGUCUCGUCAGAUCUCAUCCACGUCAAUUCCAGGAAUUCUGUGCUCUCAGGUCACCAGAUGGUGCACAGUGCCAGUCGGGGUUUGCUGCUUUCAGAUGCAUCAUGCGAGUCCAAGAGUCUACGCUCUGGAGUGUGUCCGCACAAGCCUCUAGGGAGUCGAGUCUGGAACGCCGGGAACCUUCGUGGCAGCCAGAGAAGCCGGUAGAAGUGUAGUGUCUGAUAAGCUUUGGACACAGAAGCCCUUCUGUUAAGCCUUUUUGUUUUUAAACCCCCCAUUGCAGGGCUUGAGCUCACGACCCUGAGAUCAAAACCUGAGGUGAGAUCAGUAGUCAGAGGCCUAAUCGGCUAGGCCACCAGGCACCCCCAUCAGAGCCCAUUUUUAAUUUUAUCCCAUUGCAGGUGUUUUCCACAAUGUUUGAAGUCCUGAGCCGCUCAGAGGCAUACCAGCCACCAGACCUUUCUCCUAAGCUAAGGCACAAGCCCAGGUAACAACAGCAGGCUGAAGUAGCCAAUGGUGCUGCCUCCGUGACUUCGGGAUGGAGUUGUAGGGGCAGACUCAGCACCACAUUUGCCAUUUUCAUCCUCUACGUAAGAGCCAUCCGCAGAUCCUUCCUGCGUGGUUAGAGGCGCUUUCUGGCCGUUGUCCCAGGGAUUCAAAAGGUGAUCCAUCAGCAUCAAGCAGCUGUGCAGUCCUGGUUUUGAGGUCAGAUGCUCUAGGCUUCAAAACAAUGUGAGCAAACUAUACUUUUUCUUUGGAGGCUUUAUGUCCCUUUAAGACCAAAAGUUUUGGUGGAGGGGUGGGGGAUGCUCUUACUGGGAGGAGGUGUGAGAAGGGAGCAGAAGAGCAGAUCGUCUCCACAUUCUGGAAGAGUCGAGCCUGCAGAGAACAGUGUGCCAUCCUCAUCAGCUUUUGAGGUUUGUGACGAGUGAGAAGGACCCCGUGUGUCACCCUGGGUGUGACUGCCUGGUGUGCUGCUGUUGUUCCAGGUGAAGGUGGAAAGAUUCCGGCUGCCCUUAUGGGCCGGAACACUAGGAAGGCAGCCACAGGUCAAUUACCGGGAACUAUUUGCAGUCAGUGGGAACAGGUGUCAGCAGCAUGCGGGGAUUAGGAACAACAGGGUCCUGAGGGGUGAUGGUGUUACUACUGCUGCUCGGAGAUCCUCAGCCCACGGCUUCCUCACAGGUGAGGUCGGGGUGCUACAGGCACGAGUGCGGGGAGGGGGGCGGUGAAUCGCGAGGGCCUGAGGCUUCUCUAUCAUGCGCUUGACGCCCUCAAGGCUUCUUUAUUUAUAGGCUGUUGAGUAAUUCUAGGGAGGGGUUGUGAAGGAUCUAUUGGAAUCUUAUUGGGAGGUGUGCUGUGGGUUUUACCAAUAUCCGUUGGGGAUUUUGCCCCAGAAAGAGGGUGGUCGCUGAUCCGAUAGGAAUAAAUGAUUGGUGUCCCCAGGCUCA
rnacentral:lncRNA from 1 species